rnacentral:lncRNA from 1 species
GCCUAGGUGAAGUUUGUCUCCUCUCUUGCCUAAGCCCUUUCUACAGCGGGGAUUUAGAUGUAUCACCGAAACAAGCCUCCAGGUGAUGUGACUCUUCUUCCAGAGUCCUGCCCACAAGGAGGAUUGUGACAUUUCACUGGACCAGCACCCACUCAGCUCUUUUAGUGUGGCAUGGCAGAAAGAACAAUGUAUAUGCCCACACAAAUACCUGCUGAUGGAGAUACAAAUGUGAUAGAAAAACAUCUCCUGAGAGAGACAUUUGAGGACUCCAAUUGGAUACUCAAAGAGAUUCUCUGGUGACCAAAAGGAGCCUUCAGUGAUCAAAUAACUUCAGUUAAGAAUUCCUGGUUUAAGAUUUUACAGGAAUACAUUGAACAUCAGGUUGAUGAUGCAAUGAUGGCAAAUGCAGCCCAGAAAUUUCCCUUCAAUAUUCCUAAAAGCAAAGAAGGAUAUUAAUAUCAUCAAAUCUUUGAAUGCCAUUACCCAGGCCAGGCUGACUGGCUGAGCCAUUACUGGAUGCCCAAGUGGAUCAAUGCCACUGACCCUUCUGCCCACACACUGACCCACUACAAGUCAGCUGCCAAAGCUUAAGUGCUCUUUAUGCUGUAAUGUGAAAGCAAAUAUUUCUUCUUGCUGCGUGGGGAUUAUGGAUAGAUAGGGGAACAAUGACAGUCAAUUCAGGCUAACUUGGGUGUGAAAAAAAUAAAA